CUGAAGAAGGAUUAAUAUAAACACACCCUCUUGUGUCGUCUUCUACCCGAGUGAUUCUCAUUAUUUAUUGACCUUUAAGUGCACCUGUACUCCCUAUUAUAUUAUAAACACACUAAAGUUCCAGGUGGGAACAGAGGCAAGAUGGUUCGUGACCGACUGAAAGAGUUUCGAGAAAUCAGUAAACGUCAGAGUACUGCUGAUGAGGACGUGGUCACAAUCUCCUUUGAUGGGAAUGAUGACCAGAAAGUCCUCAUGGAAAGUCUUGACAAGAUUGGACCUCUGUAUACACAGUUAAAGCAAAUGAUGGAAUCAGUGCAUGACCUCAGGACAAUGGUACACGAGCAUGACAAUCGCCAUAAAGUGGAAGAUAAAGUCAACAGUAUCAAAGCUCAGGCUAGAAAGCUACGCAUGUCAUUACAGGAGAUAAAAGCUAGAAGUGAGAAGACCACCGGGGUCACUCACCACGUAACAAAAACACAUCACGUCGCUUUAGUUAUCCACUUGACCCAGGUACUGCAUGAGCUAUCAGUAAUGCAGGCUGACACCCAUGACCGCCAUGCUCAGUAUGUGAGAAAGGAACUCAUUAUAACAGGUCAAGCAGGUAUUGAUGAAAAUGAACUUGAAAGUCUCCUGGAAGAAUCGACAGAAAUAUUUACACAAAAUAUUAUCCAAGAGACACAAGUAGCACGGCAACAGCUUCAUGAUCUGCAGGAGAGACACGACGCUUUUAUUAAAUUGGAAAAAUCUAUCACCGAGUUGUAUCAGUUAUUUCAGGAAGUGGCUCUAUUGGUACAAGAACAAGGAGAGACUAUAAAUAGGAUCGAAAACAAUAUAUUUGAAGCACAGACCAAGACAGAGAAGGCAAAAGUAGAGCUGGUGUCUGCUAGGAUAAAUCAGACGAAAGCGAUGAAGAAGAAGUUUAUAAUCGCUCUCAUUGUUGGAGUGAUCCUGCUGAUUGUCGCCCUCAUCUUAAUUUUCUCUUUUACUGGAUGAGAGUGAGAUGAAUCCACAAACCUGUAGAAAUACUUUGUCUCAACUAAGACUUUGCCUUUCCCAUCAUCUUACGUGGGCAGCAAAUGAACUGUGAUCUAUUUCCGUCUUCAGCAGCUGUGCUAUGAUUUCAUUGUGUGCAUACUUGAAGCUCCCUGAGAGAACAUUCACCGUCUCGUUUCUUCAAUAUUUAAGGUGUCGUGGCUAAGAACAACCCCUAGUCAUCAAAGGAAAUUUAGCAACUUUACAACAUGAAGGUUAGUAGUGUGUCCCAAACAAAAUGCAUCACAGUGUUGUAGUGUGAUCCAUUACAAAACAUGACAACUGAACAGCUUUGAAUAAAAGAAGUGGCAAUUUUGACCAAAUCUCAUAUGUUAAUU
rnacentral:misc_RNA from 1 species